UGUUCUUUUGGGUCUCCACCCGGAAGUGGCGUCGCUGGAACGUGAUCCAAAUUCUGACUUCUCUGUACCACCCACCUGACUGCUUCGCCUCUGAUCCUAUCCAACGUGUUAACCACAUUCUUGCAAAUAUCCUCCGCCGGGGCCAUGCCCACUGGUCAGAGCCCCCUCCCUGAACCUCACCGCUCCAUGAUUGUGCCGCAUGCCCCCCACAGGUUGCUGGGCCAGGCAGGGCAAGCAACCCACCCCUACAGUGGGGCUACUGCCCUCCACGCCCCGCAGCCUUGCCUCCUGGGUGACAUCAAUGCCGAGCCCUAGCACUAGGGUUAGAAUGCCAGGUUCUAGUGUUUGCCCUUAUGCCAAUGUGGGGAUCGUAACCCUUCACAGGGUUCGGAGCCUUCAGUGAAGUGUUCCGUGCAAGGCCUUUGCAGCAGAGCCGAAGGCACUGGAAGCUGGCAGUAAAAGUUAGCUGUCAUGAUCUGGUUUCCCAGAUUUACAGCUCUCUCCUGGUUCUCCCACCUGCACCUGUUCGAAGCUCUCAGAUUCCUUGUCCUCCGUUUCUCAUCCCACUCCGCCCCAUUCUCAGCAGAUCAUCUCCCCUACUCACUUCCCAGGAAUCAACAGAAACCAGCCUGUGGGAAUUCUCCAACUUCCCGCCCUCUCUCUCCUACCAGCUCACUUCCAUCCUUUCUCCAGUCCUGGGAAGGACGAAGCACCUGUCCGCCUGUUCCAGGCUCACCGUGCCGUGGACUCUGGCUCCCACACUCUCUCCCGUGGCCUUCACAUCCCAGAUGAUGCAACCUCCUCACCCCCACUCCCAUCAGUCCCUCCUCUCAUCCUCACUGAUGCUACUUUCAUCCAGGCAGCUGUCACCUGUCACUGGGGCUACUGCAGCAACCUUCACCCUGGCCUUGCUGACCUCCUCUAGGAUAGUCUUUACACCGCAACCACAGAGACUCUGCUGAAGCACAGAUCUGUCGAUUCACUUCUUUGCCUGAAACCUUCCAUGGUUCUCCAGCACCCCUGGGAUAAAGUCUAGACUCCCACAGUCCGUUCCCACCUGGCUGCUGACUGCCCUCUCUCGGCGUUGCGUCCUACGCUGCCGCUCAGCCCUGCUCGAUUCUCUCGGUUCUUUUAAGGAGCCUUUGGAGUGAUGUUCUCGCCACUUGGAAGGCUCGUCCUCCCUCAUUUUUCUGGAUGCAGCCCGGUGACAAGAGAGCUGCCGCCACGAUGGCCACCAGGACUGAACAGCACCUAUCCUGGAAAUGUAUGCACGGGAUGUUUCAUCAAUGCUGAAUGAACAAACGCAUCUCCCAUUCAAGUGGAGUUCCAAAAGAAAGGCCUGAGAGACAGAGGUUUUUUUCCCUCCUAAGUUACAGUUUGGGGUAACCUGAAGUCUCAGAAGAAAGUUCAAGACCUUCCUCGGUCACCAGCUGGGGGUAACCUCUUUAAGUCUUUGUUUCUUCAUCUGUCAAGCCGGUGCUUUAGGGAGGCUGGUGGGGGGAUUGAGUGAGACUGCGUAGAUGGAAGCCACCGAGUGCCUACCUCCAGGCUACUGGUUUUAAGAUGCUCUACUUCUCUUGGGAAGGAAAAAGAUUGCCUCAUAACCAGGUAUUAUGUGUUGUCUAUGGUACUUUUGACUGGCUUUGGGGCAAGGCCGUCUGGAAGCUGAAGGAUGGACUAAUUAAACUCCCCUGUUUGAAUCC